rnacentral:tRNA from 1 species
GGCGGAUAUAACUUAGUAGGUUAAAGUGGCAGACUGUGACUCUGUAAACAUGGGUUCAAAUCCCAUUAUUCGCCU